rnacentral:rRNA from 1 species
UGGGGAAUAUUGGACAAUGGGCGAAAGCCUGAUCCAGCCAUGCCGCGUGUGUGAAGAAGGUCUUCGGAUUGUAAAGCACUUUAAGUUGGGAGGAGGGGCAGUAAGUUAAUACCUUGCUGUUUUGACGUUACCGACAGAAUAAGCACCGGCUAACUCUGUGCCAG